rnacentral:lncRNA from 1 species
UUGCUCCACCAUCUGCAAGAUUUAAUGAAGAAGAGACAUAAAAUAAUAAAAAAACAUGUAAAAUGGCUUUAAAAAGCCAAGCCAAAAUCAUUUGUAAUAUUCAGCAAUUUUAUAAAUACAAGCAGUAGACAUUUUUAAGAAAAAAACAACAAGCAUUGAAGAAAAAAAACAGACUCAAACGUGCCAAGGUUCCAUUUUUUUCCUUUUAUUUUCAUUUUUCGAAACUAUACAUACAUACAAAAAUUUCAUUUUUAUUUUCGGUUACAUAUAUAUAUAUAUAAAAUACAAAAAAAGGAGGGAGACCGUACCUGUUUUGGAUCACCUAAAAGUGGGCAUUUUUUUUGGGCUCUGACCACCGUGUACGGCGGUCGCCGGUGCUGGAGCCCACGACGGCGACUCGCCGGAGUUUGGACGGAGGCAGAGAGGCUUCAGAGAAAAGGGAGAGGGAGAAGGUUUUUUUUUUUUUAAAAAAAGGGUGUUGAAAUGAUUUUUUUUGAGAAAAUUUGCUUAAAUAGAGGGUCAAAACGACGUCGUUUUGGCCUGGGUCCUUAAACCCCAAAACGGCGUAGUUUUGAGCCUUAACCCGCGACCCGACCCGCUCCAGGCUUAGGAUCCUCGUGUUUUCGAUAGAAAGGCUAAUUCCACUUUUAGCCCUUCCGCUUUUUUAUAGUUUUAUAAUUAACUCUUUCGUUAUUUUUAAUUUUGCCCUGUAAUUUUGUUUUCACUUCAUUUUGUUCCCGAAUAAAACGCUGCGUUUAGGAGGGGGGAUAUUUUCUCCUUUGGUCCCUCCUUGUUAUUCGCGCGUUCAAAUCGACCCUUUUACUCUUUGUUUAUUUCAAAUUUGCCUCAAAACUUCGUGUUUAGAUUCAAUUUAGUCCUUUUCGUUACUUUUGUUAUUUUAUUAUCAAUUAAAUAGAUUAUUAAUAUUGGUAUUAUACUUGUAUUUAUAUUUAUUUUAUUCAAAUACUACUAUUCUAAUCAUUUAUGUUAUUGUUUCUACUACUGUCAUUAUUAUUAUUAUUAUUAUUAUUAAUGUAUUGUUUUUAUUCUUAUUAAUGUAUUAUUAUUAUCGUUUUCUACUUUAUUAUUUUUGUAUUAGUACUAGUAUUACCAUCAUAUUAUGAGACUAAUUAAUUUUGUAUUCUUAUUAUUAUAUUAUAUUUUCUUUCCGUAUGUUAAUUACUGUAAUAUCAUUUCUUUUACUAUUUAACAUAUUAUUAUUAUUAUUACUAUUGUAUUAUUACUAUUGCUAUACUUUCACCUAUAUUUGUUUUCUUAUUAUUUAGUUUUCGUUUAUCUAUUUAUUUUUCUUGCCUACUUGUAUCUUUGUUAUUAUUAUAUUUUAGGUAUUAUAUCUCUAUUUAUAUUUAUGUAUUAAUAUCAUUAUUUUCCUAUUGCUACCUUUUUCAUAUUAUUAUUAUUAUCACUACUAUUACUAUCGUUUUUUUAAACAUUUUUACAUAAUAUUUAUUUAUUUACUACUAGUUCUUUUUAAUUCCAAAUAUUUUUUUAGCUUAUUUAUUAUUUCUUUUUAUUUUAGUUUAUUCAUUUUAUUCAUUUUUUUUUAUUUUUUCUCUUAUCAUCAUUGUCAUUCACAUUCGCAUCUAUAUUUAUUCUGUCAUGCCUGUCAAUAUCGAAAUUUGUAUUUGUUUAUGCAUUAUUUAUUAUCUUGCUUCAUUACGAACUUAUGUUUUAUCCAACCCAAAAUAAUUCUUUCAUAAAAGCAAUAUUCCAUAUUUAGAAAUUCGAGAAAAUCGUACCCUAACUUACUAGGUUUCGAUUUUUCUCAUUUAACCUAAAUUAUGGAAUAUUCUUUUAAAUCGUCAUACGAGUUCUGAAUAAAAUACUUAUUCUCGGAGAUACAAGGUGUUGUGUCCUAACUUACUGGAUAUGACAUCUUGUUACCUCAAAAAUGAGAUUUUUGCAAACAAAGGCAAUAUUCGGUAUUUGGCAGUUCGAGAUAUCAUGCCCUAACUUACUGGGUUUCGAUUUUUCUCGUUUACUCUAAAUAAUCGAAUAUCCUUUUAAAAAGUUAAAAUACACAAAAUUUAAAUAAAAGACAAGCUCGUUCUCGAAAAUUCAAGAUGUUGUGUCCUAAAUUACUGGAUGUGACAUUUAAUUAUUUCGAGCGAGAAGGUCUUUAACAUUCAAGUGUUUCUACAAAAAGAGGGAUCGUAUUUUUAAAGUCUUUCAAGUUUUUAAAGUUUCGACACUAAGACACUAAUUAAUCAACUAGGUACCAAUUUUGGGCGUGUCGAGGGUUCUAAUCCUUCCUCGUGCGUAACUGACUCCCGAACCCGUCUUUCUGAUUUUCGUAGACCAAAAUCGUUGUUUUAAAUAAAUCAAAUCAUUUAUUAAAAACAACCACUUUUACGAGGUGACCCGAUCACACCUCAUCAAAAAAAGGAUUGGUGGCACUCCCAUUCUUUCGUUUUCGAAACCCAAGUCGAUCCCGUUUUUCCAAAAAAUGGUUUCGACAGUGACAAUUAGAAUUGUUUCAUGAAAAGAACUAAAAAAUGGAAGAAAAGGGUAAGAAAAGUUUUCGCGGUGCGAACAAAGAAACCAUGAUAAUUAAGUAAUUUUCAUUACGUAAAUUUAUUAAUAAUUUAACAACUUUUGUUUAAAAAAAUGAUUGUUAUUGAUCUUAAUUGGACCAUUUUUUUAAUAUUUAAUCCAUUAGAAAAAUAAAACAACCACAAAAACCAUAUAUAAUAAUAGAAACAGACAAUGACUUUUGGAGUUAAAAUGGAAAAAAAAAAUCUAACCCUUGAUGGUGUUGUUGCUGAUGCUUCAAGAGCCAGCCUAGAGGAGCUAGCUGGUGCAGCCUGCAAGAUUCAAAUAUCAGAAACAAUUAACUUAUAACCAUAAUGGAAUCUUGACACCAAAGAAAUAAAGAGAGAUAAACGAGAACAUAUAGUUCGAAAAACAUGCGGGGAAAAGAAAUAUCAGAGUUUUAACUAACUGUCAUGCUUUAAAUUAAUAGAUAAGCUAAACAACCUCAAACUUACAGUAUAAAAGAAAAAAAUAAUUAAUAAUUACAAACACAAAAAUAAACGAUUAAGGAAAACUCUACUGGAACUUUUAAAUAAAAGCAAAAUAAGCUGCUAAUUUGAGAUUCCUCCGAUGUCAUUUCGAGCCCUAAUUUUCUCUGCUACCUGAGAGAAAAAGAAAGGGGAAAUGAACUUACAACGAUUCAAUAUGAGACUAAUCUUAAAUCAUUAUAUAUAAUUAUUCUAACAAUAAAAUAUUCAAUUCAUAGCAUAAUAGCAUAUUAUGCAUUAUGCAAUGAUCAUUCAAUAAAUUAAUGCAUGUAACAUUAUAUUCAUGGGCAGACUGACGUACGGGUAGUGGUGCUAGAGGUCACUGGUGUAGCUGUGGAGGUGGUGAACGACACUGAGCACUAGGGGUUUUCUUUUUUAAGAAAUAAGAACUAAUAGGGAAGGAAAUUAGGGAUUGGGAACGGGAACGGGAAGGGGAAAGGGAA